GAGGCAGAAACUGUGAAGCAGGUGAAAUCGAAACCUACAGAGAAAGAAGCAGAAACCUUGAAGCAAGUGAAACCAAAACUUACAGAGAAAGUGAAACCGCAAACA